UCUGGUUGAUCCUGCCAGUAGUCAUAUGCUUGUCUCAAAGAUUAAGCCAUGCAUGUCUAAGUAUAAACUUUUAUACAGUGAAACUGCGAAUGGCUCAGUAAAUCAGUUAUGAUCUACCUGACAAAUUUCACUACUGGAUUUCCGUGGUAAUUCUAGAGCUAAUACAGUGCAUUCAAUCCCUUGAUGUUUUGAUGGGGGCACUAGUUAGAUUCAUAAGCCAAACCGCCAGGGCAACCUGGUAUUGCUUAGUCAUAACUAUUAAGCUGAUCGACCGCAAGGUCGACGGUUCAAUCGAAUUUCUGCCCUAUCAUUUGCUUUGUUGGUAGGAUAGAGGCUUACCAAGGCAGCAACGGGUAACGGGGAAUGAGGGUUCUAUUCCGGAGAGGGCGCCUGAGAAAUGGCGACCACAUCCAAGGAAGGCAGCAGGCGCGCAAAUUACCCAAUCCCGACACGGGGAGGUAGUGACAAAAAAUAACAAUGCCGGGUCAUUUUGGCCUGGCAAUUGGAAUGAGUACAGCUUAAAUCCUUUAACGAGGAUCCAUUGGAGGGCAAGUCUGGUGCCAGCAGCCGCGGUAAUUCCAGCUCCAAUAGCGUAUAUUGUGAUUGCUGCAGUUAAAACGUCUGUAGUCGAAGUGUAGGGCAGGAAAGGACCGGGUUGGCCAUUCAUUUGGUCUGACCCUUGUACGCCGCCCUCUAUCCAGCUUUUGCCAGGCUUAGUGAUUCGCGUUCACUGGUCUGUCGCCGAAGAGUGACUGGAGUUUACCAUGAGCAAAUCAGAGUGUUCAAAGCAGGCUUUUAUGCCUGAAUGUUAAAGCAUGGAAUAAUAAAACACGCCGAGUGCGUUAGUUAUUGGUUUCUAGCGCCCGAGAAUGAUGAAGAGGAACGGUUGGGGGCUUUUGUAUUUGGCCGCUAGAGGUGAAAUUCUUGGAUUGGCCAAAGACAAACUACUGCGAAAGCUUUAGACCCAGGACGUUUCCAUUGAUCAAGGACGAAAGCCAGGGGAUCGAAGGCGUUCAGAUAACGCCGUAGUCCUGGCCGUAAACGAUGCCGACUAGGGAUUGGAUUGGUUUAAAUAUACCAGUUCAGUACCUUAGCGAAAGUGAAAAAGUCUUUAGGCUCUGGAGGGAGUAUGGGACGCAAGGCUGAAACUUACAGGAAUUGACGGAAGGGUACCACCAGGAGUGGAGCCUGCGGCAUAAAAUUUGACUCAAUACGAGGAAAACUCACCAGGUCCAGACAUAAGAAGGAUUGACAGAUUGAAAGCUCUUUUCAGGAUUCUAUGGGCGGUGGUGCAUGGCCGUUGUUAGUUUGUUGGAAUUGAUCCUGUAAAUAGGAUGAAGUCUAAUGACAAACGAGCUUUCAUCCAAGGUUACCUGGGCUUGAUCCUAGGUUUCUUGUUUGGAGACUAUUGGCUUUAAGCCAAAGGAAGUUGGAGGCAAUAACAGGUCUGUGAUGCCCUUUGAUGUUUCUGGGCCGCACGCGCGCUACACUGACCAAGACAACGAGUUUGUUUUAGCCCUGGCCGAAAGGUCUGGGAAAUCUUUUGAAACUUGGUCGUGCUGGGAAUUGAGCAUUGCAAUAGUUGCUCAUCAACGAGGAAUUCCUAGUAAGCACGACUUAUCAGGUCGUGCUGAUUACGUCCCUGCCCUUUGUACAUAUCGCCCGUCGUUGUUACCGAUUGAGUGGUUCAUGGCGAGUACGAGAGACUUGUAGAAUACGGGCUGGAAACAGCCGACUUUAUGGGAAACUCGUGCAAGCUAUGCCGUCUAGAGGAAGCAAACAUCACAACAAGGUUUUCCGUAGGUGAACUUGCGGAAG
rnacentral:rRNA from 1 species